rnacentral:rRNA from 1 species
CCUACGGGAGGCAGCAGUGGGGAAUAUUGCGCAAUGGGCGAAAGCCUGACGCAGCGACGCCGCGUGAGGGAUGAAGGCCUUCGGGUUGUAAACCUCUUUCAGCAGGGACGAAGCGAAAGUGACGGUACCUGCAGAAGAAGCACCGGCUAACUACGUGCCAGCAGCCGCGGUAAUACGUAGGGUGCAAGCGUUGUCCGGAUUUAUUGGGCGUAAAGAGCUCGUAGGCGGUCUGUCGCGUCGGAUGUGAAAACCCAGGGCUCAACCCUGGGCCUGCAUUCGAUACGGGCAGACUUGAGUGUUGCAGGGGAGACUGGAAUUCCUGGUGUAGCGGUGAAAUGCGCAGAUAUCAGGAGGAACACCGGUGGCGAAGGCGGGUCUCUGGGCAACAACUGACGCUGAGGAGCGAAAGCGUGGGGAGCGAACAGGAUUAGAUACCCUGGUAGUCCACGCCGUAAACGGUGGGCGCUAGGUGUGGGGAACCUUCCACGUUCUCUGUGCCGCNGCUACGACAUAGCGCCCGCCGUCGGGAGGACGGCCGCGACGACGUAAACUACAANAGAGUAGAGGCGUGAGACGUGCCGACGGACGACGACGAGGGAGGUUAGG